AGAUAUGUAUCCCUGAAAAGGGUUCAGUGGCUAAGCUAGUCGAUGAAGAUUACUUUUUCUACUUUGCAGCAAGUGGAGCAGAGAGAUGCUACCAUUUGAUCUCUUAGGAUCAGGUGCAGAUUCGUCACAGAGAUCAAAGGUACUCAAAUCCCUUGAUAACAUGGAUGAAGAAGGCACGAGUGUCCUGAUUUCAAUAAGCAUGAAAUUAAAAUUUACAAUCAGUAAAUGUCGAAGAAAAUACUAUACAUGUACAAGGUUAAAGUUAAACACCACUCGAUACUCUUCUACCCCAUAAAUACACCACGGACCUUUUUGGCUUAGGAGGUUUGCGGGAGCUAUCGACACCAAUCUUACCACGUGAAUCACCCACAAGGUUACGUGUUUUAGUAGAUGAAACAUCUUGGGGAGACAAAGGAUCCAAAAUGUCAUCUUUUGUUAAUGAUGACGAAACGAACGAUUCCUGAGAGAUGGAUCAAACAAGAAACAAAAUUCCUGUGUAAGCUUUGCAUGUUCAAUUAAUAUGAACAGUGAUUAUUUUAUGGAGCA